rnacentral:rRNA from 1 species
UACGGGGGGGGCAAGCGUUGUUCGGAAUUACUGGGCGUAAAGGGUUCGUAGGUGGCCAACUAAGUCAGACGUGAAAUCCCUCAGCUUAACUGGGGAACUGCGUCUGAUACUGGUCUGGCUUGAGUGCAGGAGAGGAACGCGGAAUUCCAGGUGUAGCGGUGAAAUGCGUAGAUAUCAGGAGGAACACCAGUGGCGAAGGCGGCUUCCUGGACACCAACUGACGCUGAGACGCGAAAGCGUGGGGAGCAAACAGG